GAGAAAGUUAAGGACGAUCAGUAAUGACCUAACCAUAAACUACCAGGGUCUAAUCAUCAGUUACUACACUCAUAGCAACCAAAAAAGCAAUCAAGUAACAAAAUUAUAUAGCCAAAUUAUAUACUACACACAUUGCGGUUAGAAACAAAGAAGAUCCAAUCAUAUAGCCACAAACAAACAGACCAAACAAACUAAAACACCAAACCAAUUUUAAAGCGCGAACCAUAGUAACGAAACCUUUAACCAUCUCACAAAACUAGAAAUCCUCAUUAAAUUCCUCCUAACAGUUCACUCAACUACAAAGCAUUCAAGUUCCCUUACAGCAUUCAAGUAAUAACUCUUCACACAACUACAAAGCUAUACCCAAAUAACACUUCACACAACUACAGCUAUGUAAGCAGUAACAAGAACAGAAACAUUCAUUUCCUACUGGCAACUACAGAAACUUCACUCAUCCUAUACGAAGGCAACUACAAUUUUAUCAAACCUAUCUACCUA
rnacentral:lncRNA from 1 species